AGAGGGACGUACGCUAAAUUAAACGACCUUAAUUGCAGAGAGAACUGCUUGCCACCCUUCCUAUCUUCUCCCCUCACUCGCACACCAGUCAGGUCUGUAGGUCUCUGUGGUUGCUCUGCUGCUAAGAGACCUACCUCAGAUCUUCUGUAUCAGGAAAAAAGCUAUAAAACCGCAGACGUCACAAAAAAUAAGGCAACCUAACACUAUUCUAAAAGUGCUCUCCUCCCCUGAGUCCAUCCUGACCCUGUCUGCUGGAAAGGCAUCGCUCAAGAAGGACACAACACUUAGAAGUGUGUGAUCACUACACUUGCUCUCUAAAUCUAUGAAAAUGUUUCAUCUAAUUGUUUUCAUCUCUAUUACAUAUAAUGAAACAUAUAAAAAGGGACUCCUGUUGUAUAAUACUUCAAAA